rnacentral:rRNA from 1 species
AAGGCGUAACGAUUUGGGCACUGUCUCAACGAGAGACUCGGUGAAAUCAUAGUACCUGUGAAGAUGCAGGUUACCCGCGACAGGACGGAAAGACCCCGUGGAGCUUUACUGUAGCCUGAUAUUGAAAUUCGGCACAGCUUGUACAGGAUAGGUAGGAGCCUUUGAAACGUGAGCGCUAGCUUACGUGGAGGCGCUGGUGGGAUACUACCCUAGCUGUGUUGGCUUUCUAACCCGCACCACUUA